GCAGCACGAGGUAGCAAUACUUUGGUGGCGACCGGCAGACGGGUGAGUAACGCGUAUGUAACCUACCCUGUACUGGGGGAUAACCCGGAGAAAUUCGGACUAAUACCCCAUAGAAAUAUAGAGAGGCAUCUUGAAAUAUUUAAAGUUUCGACGGUACGGGAUGGGCAUGCGUAACAUUAGCUAGUUGGUAAGGUAACGGCUUACCAAGGCUUUGAUGUUUAGGGGUCCUGAGAGGGUGAUCCCCCACACUGGUACUGAGACACGGACCAGACUCCUACGGGAGGCAGCAGUGAGGAAUAUUGGUCAAUGGGCGAAAGCCUGAACCAGCCAUCCCGCGUGCAGGAAGACGGCCCUAUGGGUUGUAAACUGCUUUUCCAGGAGGAGAAACUCUCGUACGUGAUACGGGAUUGACGGUACCCUGGGAAAAGCAUCGGCUAACUCCGUGCCAGCAGCCGCGGUAAUACGGAGGAUGCGAGCGUUAUCCGGAUUAUUGGGUUUAAAGGGUGCGUAGGCGGACUAUUAAGUCAGUGGUGAAAUCCUGCAGCUUAACUGCAGAACUGCCGUUGAUACUGAUAGUC
rnacentral:rRNA from 1 species